AUGCGUCAUCUAAAGCUGACACACAAUAUGAGGGUAGAUAGCGACCCAUGGUUUGCACAAUACUUGUUGCAGAUUGGUGACGGAAAGGAGGAGGCCAAUGAUGAUGGUGAUAUCCACCUUCCAGACGAGAUCUGUGUCAUGACUGGGAAGGACACUGACCUUGAUACACUGAUAUAUAAUGUUUUUCCCGGUCUUAGUGCUAACAUGGCAGACCCAAACUACAUCACCUCAAGAGCAAUAUUAUCGACCCGAAAUGAUUGUGUGGAUAAGAUUAAUAUGAAGAUGAUCAAUCAAUUUCAAGGAGAUGAGAUGGUGUAUCAUAGCUUUGAUUCUGCGGUCGACGACACUCAUAACUACUAUCCUUCUGAGUUCCUUAACACUUUGAAACCUAAUGCAUUGAAUCUGAAGAUUAACUGCCCUAUUAUAUUACUUAGAAAUAUUGACCCCGCAAAUGGACUUUGCAACGGCACGAGGCUGGUUGCCAAGGAUUCCAGAGGAAUGCCAUCGAUGCUGAAAUUGUGUUGGGGCAACAUGAGCAUGGUCUCCACCCUAUCACAAUAUGUCUAA
rnacentral:rRNA from 1 species